GAUGAACGCCGGCGGCGUGCCUAAUACAUGCAAGUCGAGCGAACAGACGAGGAGCUUGCUCCUCUGAUGUUAGCGGCGGACGGGUGAGUAACACGUGGAUAACCUACCUAUAAGACUGGGAUAACUUCGGGAAACCGGAGCUAAUACCGGAUAAUAUAUUGAACCGCAUGGUUCAAUAGUGAAAGACGGUUUUGCUGUCACUUAUAGAUGGAUCCGCGCUGCAUUAGCUAGUUGGUAAGGUAACGGCUUACCAAGGCAACGAUGCAUAGCCGACCUGAGAGGGUGAUCGGCCACACUGGAACUGAGACACGGUCCAGACUCCUACGGGAGGCAGCAGUAGGGAAUCUUCCGCAAUGGGCGAAAGCCUGACGGAGCAACGCCGCGUGAGUGAUGAAGGUCUUCGGAUCGUAAAACUCUGUUAUUAGGGAAGAACAAAUGUGUAAGUAACUAUGCACGUCUUGACGGUACCUAAUCAGAAAGCCACGGCUAACUACGUG
rnacentral:rRNA from 1 species